rnacentral:rRNA from 1 species
CUACGGGGCGCAGCAGUGGGGAAUAUUGGACAAUGGGCGAAAGCCUGAUCCAGCCAUGCCGCGUGUGUGAAGAAGGCCUUCGGGUUGUAAAGCACUUUCAGUGGGGAAGAAAGCCUUGGGGCUAAUACCCUCGAGGAAGGACAUCACCCACAGAAGAAGCACCGGCUAACUCCGUGCCAGCAGCCGCGGUAAUACGGAGGGUGCGAGCGUUAAUCGGAAUUACUGGGCGUAAAGCGCGCGUAGGCGGUCUGAUAAGCCGGUUGUGAAAGCCCCGGGCUCAACCUGGGAACGGCAUCCGGAACUGUCAGGCUAGAGUGCAGGAGAGGAAGGUAGAAUUCCCGGUGUAGCGGUGAAAUGCGUAGAGAUCGGGAGGAAUACCAGUGGCGAAGGCGGCCUUCUGGACUGACACUGACGCUGAGGUGCGAAAGCGUGGGUAGCAAACAGGAUUAGAUACCCGGGUAGUC